AUCCUUUUGUGGUUUAUAAAUAUGGUGAUUGUGUGUUCACCCCACACAUAGGUAACAUGAGUCUCUUCCAAAUCUUGUGACAACGUAGACACAUUGCUGAUCUGAUA
rfam:Dipodomys ordii contig_10892, whole genome shotgun sequence.